rnacentral:rRNA from 1 species
AACGCGAAGAACCUUACCUACCCUUGACAUCCUCGGAACUUGUCAGAGAUGACUUGGUGCCUUCGGGAACCGAGAGACAGGUGCUGCAUGGCUGUCGUCAGCUCGUGUCGUGAGAUGUUGGGUUAAGUCCCGUAACGAGCGCAACCCUUAUCCUUAGUUGCCAACGCGUAAAGGCGGGAACUCUAAGGAGACUGCUGGUGAUAAACCGGAGGAAGGUGAGGAUGACGUCAAGUCAUCAUGGCCUUUAUGGGUAGGGCUACACACGUGCUACAAUGGGCAGUACAGAGGGUUGCCAACCCGCGAGGGGGAGCUAAUCUCAGAAAGCUGUUCGUAGUCCGGAUUGGAGUCUGAAACUCGACUCCAUGAAGUUGGAAUCGCUAGUAAUCGCGGAUCAGAACGCCGCGGUGAAUACGUUCCCGGGCCUUGUACACACCGUAGUAC